GCGCUAAAUUUGUUACAUCGCAAGUUACUGAUUUUAUUAUAAUUUACUCUUGAUCAAUCUGGCUACGAACCAGGGGGUCGGAGGUUCGAAUCCUUCCGGGCGCGCCA
rnacentral:tRNA from 1 species